rnacentral:tRNA from 1 species
GGUUGUGGCUCAGUGACAGUGCGCUUGCCUAGCAUGCAUGAGGCACUGGGUUCGAUCCCUGGCACCA